UAGAAUUUAGUGUAAAGUGGUAGCACGAGGAUUUUUGAAGUCCUAGGUGUGGGUUCGAAUCCUAUAAUUUUAG
rnacentral:tRNA from 1 species